rnacentral:sRNA from 1 species
GUCACUCGCUCUCAUCCGGAGUGACCAGCCCCAGUCAUCACGAUCCGCGGAUCAGACAAGGUGCAUCGAUGACUACGUUCUCUGCAGGUGAGCAGACCCACCAGGCUGUGCUUCCUCAGCAGCCUGCUCUGGAAUCCCUGAGCGCAGACACCCCCGAGAGCAGGGACGAAACGGCUCACGGACUCCCGGCCGCGCGGCCGGACACCGGCACUGGACAUGGGCGAGGGGAGACCGGCGCGGUCCGC